rnacentral:rRNA from 1 species
GAUGAACGCUAGCGGCAGGCUUAAUACAUGCAAGUCGUGGGGCAGCAGGGGUAGCAAUACCCGCUGGCGACCGGCAAACGGGUGCGGAACACGUACACAACCUUCCUUAAAGUGGGGAAUAGCCCAGGGAAACUUGGAUUAAUACCCCGUAAUAUUAUUGAAUGGCAUCAUUUAAUAAUUAUAGCUCCGGCGCUUAAAGAUGGGUGUGCGGCUGAUUAGGUAGUUGGCGGGGUAACGGCCCACCAAGCCUACGAUCAGUAACUGGUGUGAGAGCACGACCAGUCACACGGGCACUGAGACACGGGCCCGAUCCUACGGGAGGCAGCAGUAAGGAUAUUGGUCAAUGGACGCAAGUCUGAACCAGCCAUGCCGCGUGGAGGAUGAAGGUCCUCUGGAUUGUAAACUUCUUUUAUCUGGGAAGAACCCAAGGGUUUCUACUUUGGUGACGGUACCAGAUGAAUAAGCACCGGCUAACUCCG